CUGGAGGCUGUGGCAGAAUUACUUGAACCAGGGAGGCAGAGGUUGCAGUGAGCUGAGAUUGCGCCACUGCACUCCAGCCUGGGUGAGAGAGCAAGACUCUGUAAAAAAAAAAAAAAACCCACAUGGCACUAAAUAGAUGAUGUAAAGAAGACUUGUUCAUAUUAUGAGAGCUGAAACAAGAACACAGAACAUCAUGCGUUUCAGGUGACACAAAUGUUUGCUGACCUGUGGCUAUCCGAGAACACCUGCAGAAGUACUCAUCGUGCCUUCCCCUGGUGGCCUCCGAAGCUCAUGCAAGUUUGCAGGAAGAGACAUUCAGAGUGAAAUACGGCCUGAAAAGCCACUCCAAGUUGUAUUAUUUAUGAAACACAACACUCAACACAAGAAGAAACCCAAUACAGCACAUCAUUCUGCCUGCUCCGUGGCUUCUGCUUCUCAAGCGACUUAAAAUGAUUGUCUCACUUUGUCUCCCAGGCUGGAGUGCAGUGGCGUGAUCUCGGCUCACUGCAACCCCCACCUCCCUGGUUCAAGUAAUUCUCCUGCCUCAGCCCCCCGAGUAGCUGAGAUUACAGGAUCCUCUCUCUGGGAGCCCUCAUCUACCUCCAGCUGCAAUCAUCACCACAGGAGUGAGAGAGAGACUUGGACCUGAGCUGGACCCUCCAGCCCUCCUUCGCUGAACUACCUUCCAACCUUAUGUUCCUACUGAUGUUUACCAGGUUAUUCAAUAAAUAUUGUAUGUUCUGUGGCAGUGGCCACCAGUCAUUUUCAAAUACCUGUUUUCCCUUCUUCCUUACCAAAAACACCCAUGGUUUUUAGCUGGACACCUGGUUGCCCAAAAUAAAC
rnacentral:lncRNA from 10 species